rnacentral:tRNA from 1 species
UCCUGGUUAGCUCAGCUGGUAGAGCAAUCCACUGAAAAUGAAGAGGUCCCUGGCUCGAUGCCAAAACCAGGCG